GAUGAAGAACGUAGCGAAAUGCGAUAAGUAAUGUGAAUUGCAGAAUUCCGUGAAUCAUCGAAUCUUUGAACGCACAUUGCGCCCGCCAGUAUUCUGGCGGGCAUGCCUGUCCGAGCGUCAUUUCAACCCUCGAACCCCUCCGGGGGGUCGGCGUUGGGGAUCGGCCCUUUCACCGGGUGCCGGCCCCUAAAUACAGUGGCGGUCUCGCCGCAGCCUCUCAUGCGCAGUAGUUUGCACACUCGCACCGGGAGCGCGGCGCGUCCUCGUCCGUAAAACACCCCAAACUUCUGAAAUGUUGACCUCGGAUCAGGUAGGAAUACCCGCUGAACUUAAGCAUAUCAAUAAGCGGAGGA
rnacentral:misc_RNA from 1 species